rnacentral:sRNA from 1 species
UAUAAUAUAAAUCUAGUGUUGUUUGUCUCCGCUUAAGUGUUUACGGUAAUGUCGUAGAUAUAAAGACAUAAUAUCUUGCAAAAAGAAAGUUAAUAAAGUAAAA